rnacentral:rRNA from 1 species
UGGGGAAUUUUGGACAAUGGGCGAAAGCCUGAUCCAGCAAUGCCGCGUGUGUGAAGAAGGCCUUCGGGCUGUAAAGCACUUUUGUCCGGAAAGAAAUCCUUGGCUCUAAUACAGUCGGGGGAUGACGGUACCGGAAGAAUAAGCACCGGCUAACUACGUGCCAGCAGCCGCGGUAAUACGUAGGGUGCAAGCGUUAAUCGGAAUUACUGGGCGUAAAGCGUGCGCAGGCGGUUUGCUAAGACCGAUGUGAAAUCCCCGGGCUCAACCUGGGAACUGCAUUGGUGACUGGCAGGCUAGAGUAUGGCAGAGGGGGGUAGAAUUCCACGUGUAGCAGUGAAAUGCGUAGAGAUGUGGAGGAAUACCGAUGGCGAAGGCAGCCCCCUGGGCCAAUACUGACGCUCAUGCACGAAAGCGUGGGGAGCAAACAGGAUUAGAUACCCUGGUAGUCCACGCCCUAAACGAUGUCAACUAGUUGUUGGGGAUUCAUUUCCUUAGUAACGUAGCUAACGCGUGAAGUUGACCGCCUGGGGAGUACGGUCGCAAGAUUAAAACUUAAAGGAAUUG